AAAAGUAUGUUUCCUAUUUUAUAUACUAAUUAAAGCACAAAGUUCUUAUGAACAGUGCAUGUGGUAAUUGGUUUUUACGUCUUUUUUUACCGUUUUUUUGUUUUUUACUGUUUUCCUCCACCGCUCUUUCUUCAUCGGUUUGCUUAAAUUAUCUUCCCCACCGACCAGGAUUACUUUAAUCCUCCAUCGACCCACCGCCUCAAAUACUUGUAUUCUCUCAAAGCCCUUUUCAUCUUUCUUUAGAGCUUGAUCGAUCGGCAUGGCCUCGAACGGAAAAAAAAAUGCGACCAUACCCACCGGAAAAAGUAGCAGUCGUAGGAACGUACUGUUGAAGAUACAAACGCAGAAGAGACAGACUGUGAUUUGUCAUGAUGACACUGCGCCGACGGAUGGUGAUGGCACAACCCAUCGAUGAGCUGCAUUCUCUUCAGCGGAAGAAGCCGGCAUCGACAACGCCGAUCGACUCUGUACAUGGUGCUUUUGCUAGGGUUUUGAUUUGCCCUCUUCGGAUACUGUUUCAAGGUAUUUGUUUUGAUGACCCAAAUAAGCCAAUUUGGGACCAACGAAUUUCAACCUUAUGUCCUCCAUCAUGUUCUAACCACUUUUCUCAUGAUCCUUAUUUGUUUUUCUGUAUUUCGAGUUUGAUUCAACUUAAGAUUAGAUUCAGCAAAUACAUCUAAAACUAAAAUUGUUGGAAGUCACUGCAUAUAUAUUCCCUCAUUGCCUCAAUAAAUGUUCUAUGAGAAGAAAGGGGCACUGCUAGCGCUGAUGCUCAACAAACUUUAUCAUAUUUUUCAAUUUCUUCUGGUAAGUAAGUUCUUCCAAUUUCAAAUCUUCCCUAUUCACACUAAAUAAAUUUGCACAGAUGGGUGUUUUUGUAUCUUAUUAGUAUGUAUUACAAAUCCCUUCUGACCUUAUGUUAUUUGGUAUAUCAAACUUCUAUUUUCGAUUUUGGUUUCUUUCUAAUUACUCCUGUUCUUUCUUGACACUAAAACCACUAAGUUUUGUUUUGAUAAAAUUUUCUAUUGUGACGACACCACUUUAACUGCCAACCAAAGUAGUUGGCAUAGAAAAAAUCGUUAAGCUUGGGUGGCUGUAAAUGACUAGAAACUGAAAUAUAGUGGCUUUUAUGUGUUUUAAGACUAAAAAGUAUGAUAUAAUAAUAUUAGUUCAGGUUUAGGGGAUUGCUGGAUGUGGAUUUAUUUUACAAUGGUGUUCAAUUUUUUUGGUUUAUGUGGAACUUUGGUAUCAUGGUAAAAGCUGUUGCUUUUUUGAACUCUGUUUUGAUAAGUUUGAUUCCAGGUUGCUUUAUACAUCAAACAUUUGAACAAACUAAUGGUAUAAUAGGUGAUGAAUGCAGAAGAGGGUGUUUUGACCAAUUCAUUUUAUAAGGGUAUCAUCUCCAUCAAUAUGUUUUGGAGCUGUUGGGUUUUGUCAGAAAAAAGGACUCUUGAAGAGGAACCGGGGAACCUUCUUAGUUGGUCAUUGUUUAUCAGUUGCAGAUAUUGCUAUCUAAUCAUAUCUUGCAGCUAAAUCUCAUUACUUAUGCCCUAAUGCUUUCAAUUUUUUGUUGUAGAAGAAAUAAAAUGAAUCCAUUUUUGUUCUAAAUGUCUGCAGGGGCUAGUAAGAGAUGGAAAAUCGAAUGAAGUGAAAAAAAGUACCAAAACUUAGAUCGAUGGCACAACAUGAUAUCUAUAGAACAUGUUGCUGUCUUAGAUGAACUAACAUCAACAUUUUCAAAGAAAAAAAGACUCAUCAAACCCCAGUUCUUCGACAAAUGUAACAGAUGAUAGCUAAUGAAAUUGUUAAUUCCAAUCGCCCUGAAAAUCAGGGUCGCUUGACAUUUUUUUUUCUUCCGUUUAUAGAGUAUACACAAGUCUUUUUGUUAAGGAGUUGAAGGAUUGAAAUUGGAAGAAUACGUGGUCUACAAGCUUUUUGCAGGUUAUCUCAUCUUCAGUCAACCUACAAUCGGUUAUCGCAUUAGGCAAUGAACAGUUGAUCUUAUAUGCUUCGCAGACAAUGGAUGAAUAUAAGGCAUUUUACUUUCUUUGAGUCUAUUUCAUUUUUUUGUAUUAAAAUUGUUUUGUAUGUUUUUUCUAUGCAAUUCAUAUCUAACCCAUGCAAAGCAUGGGCACCUA